CGCACGGGUGAGUAACACGUAUCCAACCUGCCGUCUACUCUUGGACAGCCUUCUGAAAGGAAGAUUAAUACAAGAUGGCAUCAUGAGUCCGCAUGUUCACAUGAUUAAAGGUAUUCCGGUAGACGAUGGGGAUGCGUUCCAUUAGAUAGUAGGCGGGGUAACGGCCCACCUAGUCUUCGAUGGAUAGGGGUUCUGAGAGGAAGGUCUCCCACAUUGGAACUGAGACACGGUCCAAACUCCUACGGGAGGCAGCAUG
rnacentral:rRNA from 1 species